GCACAUAAAUAUGUUGCCCGGACACAGAGCGGGCGCGCUUCUUCCUAGUCAGGGCGAUGGCCGUGACGCUGCCCGGAGUAAAAGAACGAAGAUGGAUUUUGCAUUCUUUUUGAGAUUGAACCAAAAUCUACUAAGACGAGUUUCCAGAGUCUUCGAAUUGGACUUUGUCAAAUUUUAAGCUUCGAGGAAGGCAGAGGAGACAGCCGCCCCGGGCAGAAAGGAGAAGUCGCCAAUUUUACUUUUUUGGCUAGGCUCCUCACGGCCAGACCUUUCCUCUUUUUUAAACAGAAUUCGGAUUUUGGAACAAAGGAGAGCCGAUCACUCGACUUGUUCAACCAAAUAGGAUUUUAGACCUUAAGUCUCCUCUCUUGUUCUGUCUGGUUCUCACUGUCUG